GUAGGUGGCAAGCGUUGUCCGGAAUUAUUGGGCGUAAAGCGCGCGCAGGUGGUUCUUUAAGUCUGAUGUGAAAGCCCCCGGGCUCAACCGGGGAGGGUCAUUGGAAACUGGGGAACUUGAGUGCAGGAGAGGAAAGUGGAAUUCCACGUGUAGCGGUGAAAUGCGUAGAUAUGUGGAGGAACACCAGUGGCGAAGGCGACUUUCUGGCCUGUAACUGACACUGAGGCGCGAAAGCGUGGGGAGCAAACAGGAUUAGAUACCCUGGUAGUCCACGCCGUAAACGAUGAGUGCUAAGUGUUGGGUGGUUUCCGCCCCUCAGUGCUGCAGCUAACGCAUUAAGCACUCCGCCUGGGGAGUACGGUCGCAAGACUG
rnacentral:rRNA from 1 species